GUAGCUCGUCGGGCUCAUAACCCGAAGGUCGUCGGUUCAAAUCCGGCUCCCGCAA
rnacentral:tRNA from 1 species